GGAAACAGGAGAGUGCCUUCGGGAACGCAGUGACAGGUGGUGCAUGGCUGUCGUCAGCUCGUGUCGUGAGAUGUUGGGUUAAGUCCCGCAACGAGCGCAACCCACGUCUUUAGUUGCCAGCAUUUAGUUGGGCACUCUAGAGAGACUGCCGGUGAUAAACCGGAGGAAGGUGUGGAUGACGUCAAGUCAUCAUGCCCCUUACAUCCUGGGCUACACACGUACUACAAUGCUACGGACAAAGGGCAGCAAGUUCGCGAGGACAAGCAAAUCCCAUAAACCGUGGCUCAGUUCAGAUCGUAGGCUGCAACUCGCCUACGUGAAGGCGGAAUCGCUAGUAAUCGCAGGUCAGCAUACUGCGGUGAAUACGUUCCCGGGCCUUGUACACACCGCCCGUCACACCAUGGAAGUUGGCCACGCCCGAAGCCGUUACUCCAACCCUUGUGGAGGAGGACGUCGAAGGUGGGGCUGAUGACUGGGGUGAAGUCGUAACAAGGUAGCC
rnacentral:rRNA from 1 species